CACGUAGGGCGCAAGCGUUGUCCGGAAUUAUUGGGCGUAAAGAGCUCGUAGGCGGUCUGUUACGUCUGCUGUGAAAACCCAGGGCUUAACCCUGGGCUUGCAGUGGAUACGGGCAGACUAGAGGCAGGUAGGGGAGAAUGGAAUUCCUGGUGUAGCGGUGAAAUGCGCAGAUAUCAGGAGGAACACCGGUGGCGAAGGCGGCAUCCUGGACCGGUAUUGACGCUGAGGCGCGAAAGCCAGGGGAGCAAACGGG
rnacentral:rRNA from 1 species